CUUGGCACCUAGUAAGCACUCAGUAAAUACUUGUUGAGUGCCUGCUAUGUGCCAGGCA
ensembl:miRNA